rnacentral:lncRNA from 1 species
AUAUAUAUAAGUGAGAUCCUAGCCAGAGAAGAGCAACAGGAGCUAUAUUCAAGGAAGUUUUGGACUUGAAUCAGAGAUUGGAUUGACAUCCGGAAUAGAGAGGAAAAGAGGAAGCAAACAUAGCUAGCACACGAAAGAAAGCCUUGCAACUACGCGCUAUAUAUUUUAUUUGCAACUGCGCUAAUAAGGGCACAUCCGCUUUCU